rnacentral:misc_RNA from 1 species
UUUAGGGAGACCAAAUCCACUCGAAUAUCGAUUGCUCAAAGCAAACAGACGUUUGAGAUGGUCUGACCUAGGUCGGUCGAGAUUGGUUUAUAGCUUUCAAAGUAUUUACAGUUCGGUAUAUUUAUGUAAACUCAGCAACGGAGGCGAUAAGCCAGACUGCUGGGGAAGAACCUAGCCAGAACCUUGAAAACUGCAUAGUAACGCGAAAAAGAAAGGAUGCCAGUGACCAGGAGAAAUUCAUCAGAAUAGAGCCAGGUCAGUGGCAAGU